rnacentral:piRNA from 1 species
UCAUUUUAUUUUCAUCACCAUGGGACGUAUC